UGCCUAACACAUGCAAGUCGAACGGAGGCCCGAAGCUUGCUUCGGAUACCUUAGUGGCGAACGGGUGAGUAACACGUGGGAAUCUACCUAAAAAUGGGGAAUAACUGUUGGAAACGACAGCUAAUACCGCAUAACCCCUUCGGGGCAAAGGCUUCGGCCGUUUUUAGAUGAGCCCGCGCUAGAUUAGGUUGUUGGUGGAGUAAUAGCCCACCAAGCCUGCAAUCUAUAGCUGGUCUGAGAGGAUGAUCAGCCACACUGGGACUGAGACACGGCCCAGACUCCUACGGGAGGCAGCAGUGGGGAAUAUUGGACAAUGGGGGAAACCCUGAUCCAGCAAUGCCGCGUGAGUGAAGAAGGCCCUAGGGUUGUAAAGCUCUUUCAGAAGUGAAGAUGAUGACUGUAACUUCAGAAGAAGAUCCGGCUAACUCCGUGCCAGCAGCCGCGGUAAUACGGAGGGAUCUAGCGUUGUUCGGAAUUACUGGGCGUAAAGGGCGCGUAGGCUGUAUGAUUAGUCAGAGGUGAAAUCCCUAAGCUCAACUUAGGAACUGCCUUUGAUACUGUCAUACUAGAGAAUGAGAGAGGUGAGUGGAAUUCCAAGUGUAGAGGUGAAAUUCGUAGAUAUUUGGAAGAACACCAGUGGCGAAAGCGGCUCACUGGCUCAUUUCUGACGCUGAGGCGCGAAAGCGUGGGUAGCAAACAGGAUUAGAUACCCUGGUAGUCCACGCUGUAAACGAUGAAUGCUAGCCGUUUGAGGUUUUACUUCAAGUGGUGCAGUUAACGCGUUAAGCAUUCCGCCUGGGGAGUACGAU
rnacentral:rRNA from 1 species